AUGAACGCUGGCGGCGUGCCUAAUACAUGCAAGUCGAGCGAACAGAUGAGGAGCUUGCUCCUCUGACGUUAGCGGCGGACGGGUGAGUAACACGUGGAUAACCUACCUAUAAGACUGGGAUAACUUCGGGAAACCGGAGCUAAUACCGGAUAAUAUAUUGAACCGCAUGGUUCAAUAUUGAAAGACGGUUUUGCUGUCACUUAUAGCUGGAUCCGCGCCGCAUUAGCUAGUUGGUAAGGUAACGGCUUACCAAGGCAACGAUGCGUAGCCGACCUGAGAGGGUGAUCGGCCACACAGGAACUGAGACACGGUACAGACUCCUACGGGAGGCAGCAGUAGGGAAUCUUCCGCAAUGGGCGAAAGCCUGACGGAGCAACGCCGCGUGAGUGAUGAAGGUAUUCGGAUCGUAAAACUCUGUUAUUAGGGAAGAACAAAUGUGUAAGUAACUAUGCACGUCUUGACGGUACCUAAUCAGAAAGCCAAGGCUAACUACGUG
rnacentral:rRNA from 1 species